rnacentral:tRNA from 1 species
AAGGCUUUAGCUUAAUUAAAGCGUUUGCGUUGCAUGCAUUUGCUGUGGGUUAGUGUCCCGUAAGUCUUA